AAGAAAACUGCUUACAUUUCCUUAGUAAGAUCUACAAUGGAAUAUGCAGCAACAGUAUGGGACCCCUACAGUAUUGCAGAUUCAAACAAACUAGAAAGAAUACAAAGACAAGCAGCACGCUUUAUAACAGGCGAUUACAGAACUAGAGAAGAUGGCUGCAUAACAAACAUGCUUACAAAAUUAGAACUACAGGAACUACAAUUGAGACGCACGAGCCAAAAGCUUAUAUUUAUGUACAAGGUGGUUGAGGGGCUGGUACCUGCUAUUGAUCCAGACGACUUCCUCAAAUCAGCAAGACCAAGACGAAACAUCACAGCUAAAAAGUUUGACAACUAUCAAGCCACAAACAUUGUUGAAAAACAAGUGAGGAACAAUACCAGGUGUUUUGACAUUCCUACUAGUUAAACACCGCAACAUUCAAAUUCAUUCUUUGUGUCCACAAUAGUAAAUUGGAACCAUCUAGAAGACACUAUUGUUCGCGCAACUAGUGUAGAGAGCUUUAAAUCUGCUCUCGCGAAACGUCAAUAAAUCGACGGCGCCUUCACUCCCGUUGUAUAAAAGCCAGAAUUGGUAGCUACGACGUACCCAU
rnacentral:lncRNA from 1 species